UACAGAGGUCUCAAGCGUUGUUCGGAUUCAUUGGGCGUAAAGGGUGCGUAGGCGGCGCGGUAAGUCGGGUGUGAAAUUUCGAGGCUUAACUUCGAAACUGCAUUCGAUACUGCCGUGCUUGAGGACUGGAGAGGAGACUGGAAUUUACGGUGUAGCGGUGAAAUUCGUAGAUAUCGGGAGGAACACCGGUGGCGAAGGCGGCGACCUGGGUCGAUACUGACGCUGAGGUGCGAAAGCGUGGGGAGCAAACAGG
rnacentral:rRNA from 1 species